CUUGAUGUGUAGGAUAGGUGGGAGGCUUAGAAGUGUGGACGCCAGUCUGCAUGGAGCCGACCUUGAAAUACCACCCUUUAAUGUUUGAUGUUCUAACGUUGACCCGUAAUCCGGGUUGCGGACAGUGUCUGGUGGGUAGUUUGACUGGGGCGGUCUCCUCCUAAAGAGUAACGGAGGAGCACGAAGGUUGGCUAAUCCUGGUCGGACAUCAGGAGGUUAGUGCAAUGGCAUAAGCCAGCUUGACUGCGAGCGUGACGGCGCGAGCAGGUGCGAAAGCAGGUCAUAGUGAUCCGGUGGUUCUGAAUGGAAGGGCCAUCGCUCAACGGAUAAAAGGUACUCCGGGGAUAACAGGCUGAUACCGCCCAAGAGUUCAUAUCGACGGCGGUGUUUGGCACCUCGAUGUCGGCUCAUCACAUCCUGGGGCUGAAGUAGGUCCCAAGGGUAUGGCUGUUCGCCAUUUAAAGUGGUACGCGAGCUGGGUUUAGAACGUCGUGAGACAGUUCGGUCCCUAUCUGCCGUGGGCGCUGGAGAACUGAGGGGGGCUGCUCCUAGUACGAGAGGACCGGAGUGGACGCAUCACUGGUGUUCGGGUUGUCAUGCCAAUGGCACUGCCCGGUAGCUAAAUGCGGAAGAGAUAAGUGCUGAAAGCAUCUAAGCACGAAACUUGCCCCGAGAUGAGUUCUCCCUGACUCCUUGAGAGUCCUGAAGGAACGUUGAAGACGACGACGUUGAUAGGCCGGGUGUGUAAGCGCAGCGAUGCGUUGAGCUAACCGGUACUAAUGAACCGUGAGGCUUAACCUUACAACGCCGAAGGUGUUU
rnacentral:rRNA from 1 species